rnacentral:rRNA from 1 species
UACGUAGGUGGCAAGCGUUGUCCGGAUUUACUGGGCGUAAAGAGCGCGCAGGCGGUCGUUCAAGUCGCGUGUGAAAGCCCCCGGCUCAACUGGGGAGGGUCACGCGAUACUGAUCGACUCGAAGGCAGGAGAGGGUAGUGGAAUUCCCGGUGUAGUAGUGAAAUGCGUAGAUAUCGGGAGGAACACCGGUGGCGAAGGCGGCGAGCUGGUCCAUUACUGACGCUGAGGCGCGACAGCGUGGGGAGCAAACAGG